CCCCAACCCCAACCAAUUUUUUUGUUUGUGUUGGGGCCCCCCCCCCAAAAAAAGGGGUGGGGCUCCCCCCCCCCCCCCCCCCCCAAAAAAAAAAAUUAAAACCCCCGGGGGGGGGGGGUUUUUUUUUGGNGGGGGGCCCCCCCCGGAAAACCCCCCCCCUUCUUUAUUUUUUUUUCGGGGAAGGAUCAUUACAGAGCGUGAGACUCUGCCCGGGCUCGCCCCGCGUGCAGAGUUGACCCUCCACCCGUGUUGACUUUAUCAUUUGUUGCUUUGGCGGGCCAGGUGCGUAGCGCCUACCGGCUUUUCGCUGGCUCGUGUCCGCCAAAGACCCAACCUAACUCGUGUUGUCGUGUAGUCUGAGGAAUAACUAUUGAAUUGUUAAAACUUUCAACAACGGAUCUCUUGGCUCUGGCAUCGAUGAAGAACGCAGCGAAAUGCGAUAAGUAAUGUGAAUUGCAGAAUUUAGUGAAUCAUCGAAUCUUUGAACGCACAUUGCGCCCCUUGGUAUUCCGAGGGGCAUGCCUGUUCGAGCGUCGUCACACCCCCUCAAGCCGCGCCGUUGUGUGUGGUUUGGUGUUGGGGCUCGCCAGUCUGGCGGCCCUUAAAGACAGUGGCGGUGCCGUCGUGGUCUCUACGCGUAGUACAAUUCUCGCGACAGAGCCGCAGCGGCAGCUAGCCAGUAACUCUUUUAUAUCAAGGUGACCUCGA
rnacentral:rRNA from 1 species